rnacentral:ncRNA from 1 species
AUUUGGUAGGGAAUAAUGUGAAAAUCAUUAGCUGUUCCUGCACCGGUAAAAAAAAUUAAGUCCGGACGCUACCCAGUA